ACUGCAUAUUGUUAGAGCUUGGAGUUGAGGCUUCUGGCCGAGGGACUCACAAGUGCAGGUAGUGUGCUACACAAGGGGCAAGUGUUUCGCUAACACCACAAGGGUCUCUGGCCCAAUGAGUGGGGUUGGAUAGUAAUACUUGCUACAAAA
ensembl:snoRNA SNORA62 Small nucleolar RNA SNORA62/SNORA6 family